rnacentral:lncRNA from 1 species
AUGUCUGCGUGUGAGGAUAAGUGCAAACAACAAAGGCUUCAACUGUGGCAGAGGCUGCAUCAUUUUCUUGGAACUUGCCAUUAUGUUUCAGCCAUGAUCAGGAAGGUGAGGAUGGACAAGGAAAACUUCUUAGUAAUAAGCAGAAAGCAUCUGGUGCGAAGAAGGAAGGUAAGUACACAGAUUGCAUUCUGUUUUUAUUCACCAAGCAGCCCUGAACAUUUAGAAUGAACAAGGCUAUAUACAGGCACAAUGUAGAAACAGGUGGUACAAUCUUUGCUCUCAAGCAGCUUAUACUUCACAUGGCAAAAAGAUAUGCAUGAACAAAUAAAUUAUAGCAAAUGAGGAAAUGCAUACAAAAAAGGGUUCUAUCAAAGCAUGAUUAUGAAUAAGCUUUAAAUCCUAAAGGAUUCAUUCCAGCAAGUAUUAAUGUAUUUUGGUUCUCAUUAGUUCUACCAAUAACUUGGGUCUUGAACUUUCAACACUUCAUUAACUGAAAGAAGAGGCUGGAGUAAUCACUGUUGCAAUAGCAUGACUGCUAUAUUUUUUCUCACAGCCACCAACUGAUAGCUACAAAACUGCACUUCCUAGAGAUGUGUUGAGAGAGGUUCAAGGCUCAACAAAACGUACCAUCUUGCUGUCAGAGGUGCAAUUAGAUGUUUGAUGUAGCUCCCAGGUUAAUUACAAAGUGAGCAUUAUACUGGAUUAAUAAAUGCUGAGGUUGUUGCCCUUGCAAUGAGUGAAGACAGUGCUGAAUAAUUCAGCUCACUCUUUCUGGUUGGCACUUAUCAAUGUUAGUUAUUUGGCAUGUCAGCCUGACCUGGGUAUGUCACCAAAGACCACAUGGGGCAGAUGUGGAAGCAAAUCAGUGAUCCUAGCUCAGGUGUUGUACAAAGCAUUCCGUGCAGAUUUAACAAAUUCAAGUACCAUACAAUACAGGCUGGAUUUUCCCUGGAAUUAAAAGUAAAUAUGUUUUUCCAUUUUUUAAUUGACCAAAUAUUUUAUUAAAACAUUUGAUUGAAAAUAAUCUCUAAAAGUAUUUCCAAGUUCCAGGAAUUUGAACAGUAUGCUGAUAGAAUAAAGGAGGCUAUUACUGUAAAAGGUCUUUCAGUAUAUAUAACCGAUAUCCAAAAUACAUAUCAGAAAGCAGCUCUGCUUGAGCACAUGAAAAGUGAUGUCAAAGUAGGAAAAAAAAUUGGCACUAGGCCCGGCAUGGUGGCUCAUGCCUGUAAUCUCAGCACUUUGGGAGGCUGAGGUGGGCAGAUCACUUGAGGUCAGGAGUUGGAGACAAGCUUGGCCAACAUGCUGAAACCUCAUCUCUACAAAAAAAAAAAAGAAAAACAAAAAAAAAAACCAUAAAAAUUAGCCAGGUUUGGUGGUGUACACUUGUAAUCCGAGCUACUAAGGAGGCUGAGGCAUGAGAAUCACUUGAAGCCAGGAGGCAGAGGUUACACUGAGCCAAGAUCAUGCCACUGCACUCCAGCCUGGGUGACUGAACAAGAUUGUCUCAAAAUAAUUUUUUUUAAUUGACACUUUAUUUUAUUAUAAUAGUUGAAAUGGCAGUAAAAAAAAAAAAAGUUCAUCUUUUCUCUUAAUAGAACAAUGACUGGUAUAUUGUAAGGUCUUGAUAAAUAUUCUUUGAAUACAUCUUUGGCCAUCCUAAGAAAGUAGAAUUCAUUUGGCAUUUAUACCUAAUAUCAUUUUCCUCAUGAUUUACACAAGUAUUUUAGGGUCAAGUUUUGAAACCCCAGUAACCUAAUUCCUUGCUACUCAAAGUGUGGUCCACAGACAAGCACCAAUAUCACCUGGGAGCUUGUGAGAGCUGCAAAAUCUCAGUCCUAAUUAAUCAGACCUGCUGAACCAGAAUCUGCACACUAAAGUUUGAUAAAAUCUCUUUUAAAACAGGUGAAAUAGUCCUAAAGUUAAGAUCAAAGCCCACUUUAAAAAGCGAAAAGCACAAGGGAAGUAGAACUCAAAAAAUGGCAAUGGAACCAGAAAAGAUGUUUGGAAGGUGCAAAAUAUGACUUGCAUGUGUGAUGUGAUAGGUACAUACAGUCAAAUGCUCAUACCCAAGUAAUUAUUAUGACUUUGGGUGAGUUUCUCAAGCUCUCUUGGAGCUAUUUGCAAAAGAAAAAAGGUAAGAUAGAAAACCUCUAGUUCUAAAUGUGAUUUUCCUCUUGUCUCCAAGAACGUUGGGUCUCAUUUCCCAAAAAUUAUCCAGAGCGUCCCUUUCAACCUAGGUCAUACCAGUUUGGCCACUGUUUGUGCCUCCUGUCCUAAUUUUUAACCCAGCCCUCACCCUACACUACUCUGCCACUCACGUGAGACAUAUGCUAUAGACAUUUUGGAUAUGCUUUUAGCCCAUUAAAUGUGAAAACAGCCUUUAUUCUGGAAAGCUCUAUUCAUUUCAGAUAAAUCAGAAAGAUAUUUACUCAUAUAUAUUAUAUGUAUAUCCACCUAAUUAAUUGGGCAAAAUAAAAUGAAUAAUCCUUGUAAUAUCCCCUUUUAACCCAUAUUCUCUUCUAUUAUACUUCAUACUAUCAUUGGGGAAACAGGCCAGAUGUCUUUUUUUUCUCUGCUUAUAUACCAAGAAAUCUUUCUUAAAGAUCUCUUUUAUAUUUUUCAGUUUUAUGUAUUUGUUGUUCUACUAACUUAAUACAGUAUUUUAAUGGAGAUUCCAUAGAAAAAUAAUGGCUAGCAGAGCUUUAAAGAAACUUUAAGUCAUUGUUUAUAUUCCUAGAGCAGAGGAAUAUUGUAUAUGACAUGAUUUAAGAAAACCACUGCUAAUGAACAAAUUAGUAUCUGACUCUAUACAAGAAAUACACAAAGAGCCUGCUGCUGCUUUUCUGAGCAGGACAGUUCAUAGGGACAUUGAGCAUGGUUGGCAUCUAACCUGGUUACUCUGAAGAUUUCAAGAUUAAAUCCUCAGUCCUAUGAAUUAACCAAUUGUCCAGUGUUAAAAUACAGAUACCCGCUGCACACAUGAAACUACUCAUCAAUAAUUUAAACUUUAAUAUAUGUAAAAGGUGUCCAGUAGGAUCUAGCUGAAUCUGAGCAUCAAUUCUGGAAAAGGAAAAGGCCUGAGAUCUUUGGCUGCUCAGUAGUGUAAAGGUGGGAGAAAGAAGUCAACAAGGGCUUCAAGGAAAGAUCAAAGGACAGUGAAAGAAGAGUUUUCCUAGUUUUGCCUAGAGCAGGCCUUUGAUUAGUGUUAGAGUGCUGACUCUCUAAAGAUAGAUAUCUAAAAGGAUUAUUCCAGAUAUGUGAGAUCACAGGAAAGAUUGUGCAAGGGCAUAAAUGUGAGCAUAUUAUAGUGAUUAAGACCAUGUGACCAUAAAGGAAGAGGAAGAUGGAACAGAAAGAUACAAGAAGAAUACAAACAAGAGGUUGGUGCCUAGAAAAAGAGGAAGAGAGUAAAACGUUUGGGAAGUAUAGAAAGUGUAUGAUCCUUUAGAAAUUGUUCUUUGUGUACUACUCAUUGCUAAACUUCAGUGUUUAAAAUUCAGUAUUUAUACAGCAAGCGUAGGUAUACAGCUAUCAUUAAAUUCUAAUAUGUAAUGGUCUGUAUACUUCCAGAAGCUUUCAGAGGUUUUGAAUUGAUAUUCCAUUAUAAAUUUUUGAGGGAUUCACAAUUUGAAAUGUAUAUGUCUAGCAAUAAUUCUUUCCCUCAGCCCCACCCCCCAGAUCUUUAUAUUUCUGGUAAUUUUUCAUCAUUCAGGCUUUAGUUGAAAUGGAAACACCUCAGAAAGCCUUUUGCUUUCCUAACCAUCCUUGGUAAGAAGAAUUCUAUGUUGGACUCUCCAGGUUCCUGGCCUUGAGAAACAUACAUCUCCCAGUUAUUCAGUCAAACACUAAUGUAGUUAUUGCUGUAAAGGAAGUAUGAAGAUGAAAUGAAGGUCCCAAAUCUAUUGACCUUUGGAUAGAGAUUAACUGGGUAGAAGUGACCUAGUCAUAUGAGCCCUUUAAAGAUACGACCUCAUAGCAGUUACAAUGGCCAUAUCAAACAGACAAGAAAGGCUGGGCAUGGUGGCUCACGCCUAUAAUUCCAGCACUUUGGGAGGCCUAGGCGGGUGGAUCACCUGAGGUCUGGCUGUUUGAAGAAGUCAGAGAUGUGAAGUUUCUGAAGGCUAUCACAUGCCAUUGCUGACAAAGAUGGAAGAA